CUUCACCCAUCUCCAUAUGGGACUGUGAAUGAGUCAUAAAGAGAAGCCCUGUGAGGGUAUCUUUCCGCUGGGAAGUGACUGCCAUCAACUAACCUUGAAUCAAAUGCACAUCAAUUUUUGUCAGAGGGACCCAAUACUGCUAAAGGAUUGGAAGGACUUGGGCCUACUAGGGCCCCAUUAGACUGAUGGAUGACUCCAGAUACAAAGGACAAACCCACCAGAGCUAUCUGAUACAGACCACCAGGACCAUAGCAGAGCAAGAGAGAAAAAUCCUUGGACCAACACUAAAGAUAGUAAGAUUGUUCUGAUUCAAACAAGAGAUGCUCCAGUCAGAGAUGGAACCAUCAGAAACAAUAACUACUAAAGAUGAUGCCAGAAAAUGUGAAGAGGUUAGAAUCAGAGGACACAAACUACUUGAAUACAGCACAUGGAUUCACAGACUGCAGCAACCUAACCCUUCCAGCCUGGGAUUUAAAACUAUCGUGGAGCAGUCAGAGGAAGCAUUUAUGUGAUUAUGUUGGAUGUUCUGGGCAGGGCCAACAAGCAGGUACAGUUCAAAAGGGAAGAGGAU